CAGCCCUAGUGAUAGUGGUAGAUGGUGGGGUUCGGGCACAGACAACCGGUUCAAUAAAGCCGGUUUUGGUACGGGUCAAACGGUCAGAUUACGAGCUCGUUCUGGUCAACAUCUGGGUUCGGGUCAAUCACGGUCAACUCAGUCAACUGGUCAAAGCCAGUCAACUUCAGUCAACAAAAGCCAACGGUCAAACUUCUGGUCAACAGAAGUCAAAUGGUCAACUCAGACCCGGAAUGUCAUAGGUGCACGCUAGCUAAUACACGUUCUUGGAACAACACUUCGGAACCACGCUAGGCUAGCAUUGCACAGGAAUGUCAAGGUUGCAUUUUCAAAACUAUGGAACGGUUGGAAUAGGAGAACCCGUGGGAAUUCAAGUACUUAGCGGCGUUCAUUUUCUAGAAGUCUUAGCUAAUUGCUUCCGCUGUGCAAUGAAGAUACCGGUCCAGUCACGCCAUGCUCUGAUAAUUUCGGGGUGUGACA